AUGCCUGCACUCACCGAGUUUCUCCUUCCUUCUCUUUCCAGUCCCUCUGCCCCAGGGUAUGGAACCAUGUUGUGGAGUGAUUUCCUCUGAACUGAAACACUUCCUCCCCGAGACAGGAGGAGGCUUAGAAGACUGCAGGAGGUUCACCAUAAAGCAGUCCAAGACUGAAGACGGGAAGGACCUCAGGAAGGUGCAGAUCCCUGGCAGGAAAGGAUUCCAGGCAGCUGACCACUUAAUCCAUGGUGGAACAGUGAAGAGUGGUGUGAUGAGAGUCUGCUUGCAGCACAAGAGUGUGACCAACAAAUAUCUGUAGUUCCCAGGCAAAGCAGAUGGCACAAUUUGGCCCUUGGAGAAGAACUGGAGAGAAGAAGACACAGGAAGGUGCUGAAUUGGACUCUUCUCAGAGAUUGAGAGCGGCACUUUAUGAUAGAGUAGUUUAAGAUAACAGCUGCUGUGUGUAAGUAAGUGACGUGGAGAUAUUAACCGUGAGGUCAGGGGUUCUAAGAACAAAUUAGACAGUGAAAAUUAUACUUUUGGGCACGAGAGAGAAUGAAACCAUGGAGAGUAAGUGAAGAACUGGAUGCUAGCAGUUUGGGGAAACAUUUAUUUUUUCCUACAGUAGUUCGCAAACUGAGGCUUCAGAACCGCAAUUAGCUGUUCACUACAAAGCCAUAUUCAAUCGCAUUGGUACUAUUUCUGAAUUAGAAACUGAGAAAUAUGCCUAUUUUCUCAAGCUAAAGUUAUUAAAAUGUGUGUGUGUGUGUGUGUGUGUGUGUGUGUGUGUGUGUGUGUGUGUAUUAUGUGUGUGUUUGCAUGCAUGUGACACAGAGCCCUCUGCAGGUCAAGGGACAAAUUCUGAGAGUGAUUCCCUCCUUCUGUUUUGUAGAUCAUAAGAAUCAAAUUUAGGUCAUCAGACUUGACAAUAGGCACCUUUAACCACUGAGUGACUUCACUGGCCCUGAAUUUUAUGUAUGAAUUUAAGGUGUCAGACAUGAUAUUUUAAUGUACACUUAGUGAAAUUAUUAAAACUCAUAUACCUAUCACCUUCCAUGUCUGAAGCAGACUUUUGAGUAUUUUAGCGUGCACACAUUUGAAAAAAAUGGCUGUCUUGGAGAAUAGAGCCAGGAAAGUGGAGAGGUCAAAUGGGGGUUUUAACUGUUAAAUGAC
rnacentral:lncRNA from 1 species